rnacentral:lncRNA from 1 species
GGGAGGCAGGCUUGGAGGAGUCGGUGCCUUGGGAUGUGGGACAGUGAGGAACAAGGCACAAACAACCAGUCAGUGCUCUGGGGAAUCAAGAAGUUGGGAUGGGCAGCGGGGGUCCAGGGUGGAGAUGGGCUGGAGGGGGAGGAGGGCACCAACCAGGGAAGGCCCCUCAGGGGCUUGAUCCUGUAGUUCUGGGCCUCGCAGAGCCAGCCACACGUCCGAGCUCCUAGGUGAUUUUAAGAACUAGCUCUUGCUGGGCCGCACCCAGGCAGAGCUGCCCGUUCAGUGGCUGGGCUGGCCCAGCACCUCCCAGGUGAUCCUGUUGUGCCAGGUCAAUGGUCUGGAGAGUUAUCAGCCACAAGAGGCACCGUCAGGUUUGCCCUUUUGAGGCCCACAUGGCCGCUGGUGUGAGACGCGGAUGUGCACGGUGAGGCAGUGAGGGGCUGCAGGGUGAGGAGCCCCCAGCCAUGUGCGGUUCAGGGUCCCCGCAGCACUCGCCCAAGGACACUGGGAGCUGGCGGAGGCCUGGGCAGGAGCAGGAAACUGAAGGAGGAGGAGGGGCCUCACUCAUCACCUGAUGAGAUCUCCACACUUUGCAGAAGGGGAAACCGAGGCUCACAGCGAGGAACUUGGUCAACAAGCCCAGGCCCCUCCACCCUGCCCGCGUUUCCUGCACUGCACUGGAUCAAACCGGUUUGAUCCUUGAUAAUGCCUCCGACAAAUAUUUGAUGAGGGAGGAGGCUGAGAGAGGGGCUGUGGAACAAAUCACCACAAACUGGAGGGCCGAAAACACCAGCAAUGGGCUCCCUCUUGGUUCUGGAGCCGAGAAGGCAGAAAUGAAGGCGUCAUCAGGGUUGCUCCUUCUGGGGCCUCAGAGCAGGACUCUGUUCCCUGCCCGUCCCCAGCUCCGGUGGUUGGCGGCCUUCCUCCGCCUGUGGCCCUGCACUCCAAUCGCUGCCUCUGUUGUCACUUGGCCCCCCAUGUGCCUCUGUGUCUCAGAAGGACACAAGUCAUAUUGAAUUAAGGACCCUCCCUACCCCAGCAUGACCCCGUUUUAACUUAGAACUUUCACAAUGAUCUGAUUUGCAAAGAAGGCUGGAUUCUGAGGUCCUGGGAAGGACAUGAAUUUUGGGGGAUGCUGUUCACCUCAGUACACCGGUGCAGAGUUCGGUGACACCGCCAAGUUGCUUGACGGUGAGCAGCCUGGCAUUGUAGAAAGGCAGAGGUUGACUUUAGUUUGGUCCCUGGCUUUGUCCUUUAUUUGUUCUGUGACACCUUGGACAAGUUUUGUGACCCGAGUGUCAGUUUCCUAGGAACCAGUGACAAUGAUCAGAGAUAGGGGGACUCAAGGGUAAGUAAAGUGCAGGAUGAACUGCAGCGGAGCGUGUGAGGUGCCUGGCAGGUGUCGGCCACCCAGUGGCGCUCGAAGCACCUGCUGCUCCCUCCUUCCUCGCUCCCAGCUGCCUUCUCUGCUGGGAGCUCUUUGGAGAGGAGCUGUGUGACUGGUUCAUCCUGUCCCUCGAGGAGCUACCAGUUCAGUCAAGGACAUUGAGAAGCAGCGGAUGGUGACAGUGCAGUGUGACAGUGGUGUGCUGUGGGAGCCCCAUGGAGCGGCUACCCAGGCAGGAACGUCAGGGAGGCUUCCUGGAGGAGGUGGUGCUUCAGAUGAGACUUGAAGGAGCAGAAGGUGUUUGCUAGACAAAGGGGCUUGCUUGGAUGAAUGGUCUUCAGAGCGUGGUCCCAGUAAGGAAGGAGACCACUACUACUCUUGCUGCCCUCCUCCCCCGACCUUGCCUAGUUUACAAGACAGGAGGAAAGAGAGAAAGCAAAAAGUUAGAAAAAAAAAAAAAAAAAACAGAAGUAAGAUAAAUAGCCAGAAGACCUUGGCACCACCACCUGGCCCUGGUAGUUAAAAAAAGUAAUAAUAAUAAUAUCGACCCCUGACUUAAACUACUUGUAUUAUCUGUAAAUUCCAGACAUUGUAGGAAAAAGCAUUGCAAAAUUUUCUGUUCUGUUAGCUGAUUCAUGUAGCCCCCAGUCACGUUCCCCAUGCUUGUUCGAUUUAUCAUGACCCUUUCACGUGGGCCCCUUAGAGGUGUAAGCCCUUAAAAGGGCCAAGAAUUUCUUUUUCCGGGAGCUCGGCUCUUAAGACGCAAGUCUGCUGAUGCUCCCGGCUGAAUAAACCUCUUCCUUCUUUAAUCCAGUGUCUGAGGAGUUUUGUCUGUGGCUCCUCCUGCUACACCAGAACAGCAGGGCCGGCAUCCCCUGAGCUAGAACAACCCUGAGGCAGGGCAUCCACUGCAGGGAAGGCUGGGAGAGGGGCCAGAGAAACCUGUCAGGG